rnacentral:rRNA from 1 species
UACGUAGGGGGCGAGCGUUGUCCGGAUUUAUUGGGCGUAAAGAGCGUGUAGGCGGCCAGGUAGGUCUGCUGUGAAAACUCGAGGCUCAACCUCGAGACGUCGGCGGAAACCAUCUGGCUAGAGUCCGGAAGAGGAGAGUGGAAUUCCUGGUGUAGCGGUGAAAUGCGCAGAUAUCAGGAAGAACACCGGUGGCGAAGGCGGAUCUCUGGGCCUGUCCUGACGCUCAGGCGCGAAAGCUAGGGGAGCAAACAGG